rnacentral:rRNA from 1 species
UACGAAGGGUGCAAGCGUUACUCGGAAUUACUGGGCGUAAAGCGUGCGUAGGCGGUUUGUUAAGUCCGCUGUGAAAGCCCUGGGCUCAACCUGGGAAUUGCAGUGGAUACUGGCAGGCUAGAGUGCGGUAGAGGAUGGCGGAAUUCCCGGUGUAGCAGUGAAAUGCGUAGAUAUGCGGAGGAACACCGAUGGCGAAGGCAAUCCCCUGGGCCUGCACUGACGCUCAUGCACGAAAGCGUGGGGAGCAAACAGG